rnacentral:lncRNA from 1 species
ACAGAGCAAGAAAAAUCAAGAACAAACCUGUGGUUAAUUUUGAUCCCCAGACAGCUGAACUUAAUCAUCUUAAACAACAGGUACAACAGCUACAGGUCUUGUUGCUGCAAGCCCAUGGAGGUACCCUGCCUAGAUCUAUAAAUGUGGAACCAUCAGAGAAUCUACAAUCCCUGAUGGAGAAGAAUCAGUCCUUGGUAGAAGAGAAUGAAAAGUUAAGUCGUGGUCUGAGCGAGGCAGCUGGUCAGACAGCCCAGAUGUUGGAGCGAAUCAUUUUGACAGAGCAAGCAAAUGAAAAAAUGAAUGCCAAACUAGAAGAGCUCAGGCACCAUGCAGUCUGUAAACUGGAUCUUCAAAAGCUGGUGGAGACUUUGGAAGACCAGGAAUUAAAAGAAAAUGUGGAGAUAAUUUGUAACCUGCAACAACUGAUUAUCCAGCUCUCGCAAGUGGAAACCAGUCCAGAGACCAGCAGGUCUUCUGAUAUUUUCACCACUCAACACGCUCUACGGCAAGCUCAGAUGUCAAAGGAGCUGAUUGAGUUGAAUAAGGCCCUUGCACUGAAAGAAGCCCUAGCUAAGAAGAUGACUCAGAAUGACAGCCAACUACAGCCCAUUCAGUUCCAGUACCAGGUAACAUAUUUUCUAGAAAAACAUUUGUUCUUGUGUAUCAUCUUUGGCUGAAUGGAUAGAAAAAAAGCACACCAUUUUUGGCAAUGAAAAAAUAACAUGAUAUGCAUGAUCUGACAGUAGAAGUGUACUUUUU